UUCCUACGGGAGGCAGCAGUAAGGGAUAUUGGGCAAUGGGCGAAAGCCUGACCCAGCAACGCCGCGUGGGCGAUGAAGGCCUUCGGGUCGUAAAGCCCUUUUGAGGGGGACGAUGAUGACGGUACCCCUCGAAUAAGCCACGGCUAACUACGUGCCAGCAGCCGCGGUAAUACGUAGGUGGCAAGCGUUGUCCGGAUUUACUGGGCGUAAAGGGCGUGCAGGCGGUUUGUUUAGUCUAGGGUGAAAGCUCCCGGCUUAACUGGGAGAGGUCCUUGGAUACUGGCAAACUUGAGGGAGGCAGAGGAAAGUGGAAUUCCCGGUGUAGUGGUGAUAUGCGUAGAUAUCGGGAGGAACACCAGGUGGCGAAGGCGGCUUUCUGGGCCUUACCUGACGCUGAGACGCGAAAGCGUGGGGAGCGAACCGGAUUAGAUACCCGGGUAGUCCACGCCGUAAACUAUGGACACUAGGUGUGGGGGGGUAUCGACCCCCUCCGUGCCGCAGCUAACGCAAUAAGUGUCCCGCCUGGGGAGUACGGCCGCAAGGCUAAAACUCAAAGGAAUUGACGGGGGCCCGCACAAGCAGCGGAGCGUGCGGUUUAAUUCGUCGCAACACUAAGACCUUACCAAGGCUUGACAUGCUAGUGGUACUG
rnacentral:rRNA from 1 species